UUUUUAUUUUUUAAAUACAGACAAAUUAUACAUCACUUGAAAGGUUUUUUCAAGACAAAUUCAAUGGUGAAGACCAAAUUACAAUUGGAGCACCAUAACUGAAGAUAUGGCCUCUUAAAGGGACGCUAUACGCAGAACUUUUCUGCCACCCAAGACAAGUACCCAUUGGGUGGCAGAUCUACAGAUCUGAGAAUGCGGGAUCAGACAGCUGGAGCUGCAACAGUAGCUAGAAAUGUACUCCACUGCUUAGAAUUAUAGAAUAUAUUAACAUUAAAUAUAUUGGAAUAUAUAAAGUUAAAAAGCAAGUCUCUGACAUUAUCUGAAUUUCUACUACAUUUAAAAUCACAUUUACAAAAUAAUCUCCCUCCUAGUAAACAUAAUAAAACAGGGACCCAUUAUUGUGUACAUCAUGUGAAUUGAUGAGAUAGCUUAUUGAUAUGAUGACACAAAACAACAGAAUAUAGAUAUAGUCAUGUAUCUAUUCAUUUUAAUACCAGUACCAGGCAGCAGUCAAUGCAUGGUCUGCGCCUGUACACCAUGAAAAAAUAAUGAGACUGGAAUUAAACGUGCUUUAAUUCCCGCCUGUUUUUUUUCUUGAAAUAUUAAGUUGAAAUUAUCAUUAAUUUAUCAUCAAUACACAUAAUUCAUGCAGAAAUCAAAUGCACAACUUAUCACCUACAACUAAUUUCAAUGGGUUUAACAAUAACAUACAUGCAUCAAGUACCACACCCACAACCACCACGCCCACUCACUCCUUUCGGUCAGCCAUGGCACCAAAAUCACACUCUAGGCGGCACAACAUGGGCUUGCAUUCGCCUCUUGCGCAGCUAUGCGACACAUUCUUAUAUAUCAAAAUUAGAUUUUCUGAUACAAAUACACUUCAAAGAAUUAAUUUAUAUCUGAUAUUUGACUGUUCCCUGGGAAAUUUUCUGUUUAUACGGCUUUGAAGUAAGAAAAUAGAAACACGAUUUACCGAAAGUGUCCAAAAAACUCCU